UUUGCUGUAAAUGAGGGAGAUAAUUGAGGAGAAAAAAAAAUUGAAAAACAAAAUAAUUUUAUUGCUGAAAAAUCAAAUUAAUUAAUUACAUAUAAAACAUAAAUAUCUAUAUAAUCAAAUAAAAAAAAAUACAAAAUACAUCUUCACGUUCUUUAUAAUGGAUCAGGAUAUAUGUUCCCUCUUCUCCAAUAUUCCUCAAAAUCGCCAUGAACAAAUUAUAACCUUGACAUAUAUGAGUUGAUGGGGAAGUAAGAAACUACAAUAGGAGCACUUGAAGAUGACUUUGAUUUGCUUUUGGGUUUCUGUACAUUAGAUCCUUUGAUGUUGGAUACUUCUGCAUCAUCUGAAACCCUAGAAGAUGAAGACGAUGAAGGAACAAAGCAACUGAACAUGGCUGAGAAAUUAACCAUUUUUCCUUCUGAUUUCUUCUUGUUGUGGAGUUGUAUUAGUAUAUGUUGUGAUAUUGAUGAGGAUCAAAGUGAAAAAACCAGGCUAUUUAUAGAUGAAGAAGAGAAGUCGAAGUUGGUAUAUAGUCUUCAUGUGCAAGGAAAGGAAUUCCAAGUUUCCAGGAGAAUUCUCCUACCUUAAUUUGACCAAAACAAAUGAACCACGUGACUAUAAUAUAAGCAGGAAGUUUCCACUUGACUAGUUGAGAAAAGUCAACACUCUCAGAACGCUUUUAAGGUUAAUCAAAACUCUAGCCAGCCGCCCCACACACAGGAAAAAGUUAUAUACUGGAGAUCUGUUCAGCAACGGCUACUCAAGUGGCUUUUAGCGUUUUUACUACUUUUCAUAGUGUUUGAUAAUACAACGUUAAAUUAGCUUUUAGAGAUUACGGUGACAGCUUUUUAUGAAAAUGUUAACUCAUCUAAUAUUUAGUUUUUAGCUUUUCAUAAAAAACUAUUAAAACAACUACCAACUAAUCACUGUAAAAUAGCUAAUAGCUAUCAAAACAACUAAUUUUUCCAUUUACACAAUAAAGUCAAUUAAAAAUAAUUUCUUGAUGUAAGAAAGUAGUUCUGACUAUUAAUUAAAAAAAAAUAGGUAAAACUAACUUAGUGUAUGGAUAGACUUAUACAUCUGAGUGUGGUAAGUCUUAUAUAUAUUUAUUUUAUACGUUAUAAUUUUUUAUUGUUUAUAUAUUUUUUAGAAUGCAAAAAUCUACGAGGAAGACACACAUAUGAUAAAGAAAAUCCAUUUCAUUAUAACAAAAUUGCUAAUAAGAGGAUUUAUAUUGUGACAUGUUGCUGUUUCACAUGAAAUGAGCUUCUUUUUCUUUGUCGAUACCUUGGGGAGCAAGAGCUCAAAGCAAAACGAAAACAAAGCUAUACAGCUAUGCUGACUCGCUGAGUCGCGUUGCUACAAAUUUCAUAGUCUAUCCAAAUCGAUAAACCGGGAGGAGGAGACUGCAAAUUCGUUUAAUGAUACCUUCAAAUUGCAGGCCAAGAAAGUAGGAGGAUCAUCAGAAAAACAUGAAAUACAAAAAAAGACGCGUGUAAUAAUUUAUUACAGAGAAGAACACCAAUGUUCGCUAAAUUCUUGUGCUAGUAGAAAUCAAAUAACUACUACAAAAGGGAGAGGUAUGAAUUGGUAGGGAAGUGAGGAACCAUAAUUGUGGAAGCUGAUGAUGAUUUUGAUUUUCUUUUGGGUAGUUUGACAGGGUUAGGUACUUUCAUGGUGGAGAUAGUUAGCGCAUCAGAAACUCGAGAGGAUGGAGAAGAAGAAUGGAAGCAACUAAACAAAGAUGAGAAGAUAGAUGUCAUUUUUUUUUUUUUUUUUUUUUGUGUGUUCUUGGAUUGGAGCUUGGAAGGAAAACAUAUUAAUUUAUAGUGAAAGAUGAGAAAGGAAAUUAAAACUUGUUUGUUUAUAGAUGCUAGUAAAAAAAAAAAAAAUACUAGACUUCCAACAUUUGUGUCCGGUCAAGUGAAGUUCGAUAUUUUAGGUUUAUUCAAUUCAAUGCCUAAAAAGGUCUGUUAAGCGCCUCGUGCUUAUGUCAUAAUAGAUCCGAACAUGUCCUGGAUCGACUUUCUGAUCAUAAUUACUCUAAUAAAUAACUAAAGAAACUAGAUAAAUGGGAGAUAAAAGAGAAAUAAAAUAAUUAUAAAUAUCUCUUAUAGGUUCACUAAUUAUUUAACUUGACUGUUGAUGGACCUCUUUAUAUGUGUUAUCUGAAAGAUGAGGACUCGAUGAUUAUUCGUUUGCCGAAGUCAAAAUUUUGAUAGAUAAAUCGGUUAUUAGGAGAAUAAAAUAUUUUUAUGUUCGUUGUUAGGUAAAGGUCAUACUUUUUAAUUUAAAAAAAAAAAAAAAAAAAAAAAAAAAAAAAAGAAGAAAAAAAAAAAAUGUGUCUACGUCUGGUGACGACUUUGCAAUAAUUAUAAAAUAGACACAUUGUUUUUGGCUACAAAAUGUGACUUUCAGAUUAGUUUGGUCUUAGUUUAUUGGUGGUGAAAUUUGCUUCUUAUCCAAAGGGAAUAUAUAUAUAUAUAUAUAUAUAUAUAAAACAUCUAAAAUGGUCAAAUAUAUUUUUUUGGAAGUUGCUUUGUUGCUUGUUUGAUUUUUUACAUUUUAAUAUUUGAACAGAAAAAAUUAACUAAAAUAAUUAAAUUUGUUUUCUUAGUUCUUACACGCCAUAUACAUUUAAAAAUUAAAAUCAUGAUGUUUACCUUCCAACCUAAUAUUCAAUAUAUAUGUGCGUGCUGUGCUUUGAUCAAGAUCUAAUUUUUAUAGUUUUUUUUUUAUAUUUAGACGAGAUAUCUAGGUCCGUAUCCGUUUUAAUAGUUUACAAACCUGGCUGAUCUUCCUCGUCCUCGGAGGCAAAAAAAGCUUGCAUUGCAUAGAAUCGAACACAUGAUCUAAUUUUUAUAAUAUUGUUUUCAAACAUUAAUUAAAAAAAUGCUUGUUAAGCAUUUGUAUUAGGGAUAAAUGAUAAUUGGUUCAUUUUAAUGUUAAAUUAAAAGGAUGAGGAGUAUCACAAAUUGAAAAACACAAUUAAAAUAAAAUUAUAUGUAGAUUAUCUUUAUUCUCCGAUAACUAUAAUCAAUCAUCAAUUGUACUAUUGAAAAUUGAUAUAUGUUCGAAUCACCUUUUCAAAACUGAUAUACGUAUGAAUCACAUACUUAAAAAAAAAAACUGAAAAAAAGGGUAUAAUACAAAUCAUGGUGUUAGAGUCAAUCUCUAAAACUGAAAUUUGUUGAAUUCAAAACAAGAAUCAUAAUCAAUAACAAAUUUCUAGUAUAUAAAAAAAAUUAAAGAAGAAACCAUUAAUGAAUAUAAAAUAACUCAAAAUUUUCUAAUUCAUAAAAAUCGCAAGAGAUUAAUACACUCACAUGAAUGAAAUUAUUCCUAACUCUUCAAAAUUGCAUGAUUAAUUAAGAUUAGUCAUGCUCUCUCUCAAAAAAAAAUAAUAAUAAUAAUAAUGCAAAAGAACAAAAUUAAAUACCCGCUACAUUGAGAAAAAAAAAAAAAAACUACAGCCUCGGAGCACAAAAAUUAAAAGGAAAAUGAGGAACAAGAAUUGGAGAUUUUGAUUUGCUCAUCAAUCUCUCAGACUUGUUAGACCUUUUUGCAUCAGAAAACUGCUUUUCGUCGAAGACCUUUGAAUUAGCAAAAAUGGUGGAGCAGAAAAUUGCUGAAAAGCAUCCCAUUGUUUUCUGUUUCUAUUAAUUUCUCUUGAUUACCUACAAGAGACCUAUUUAUAGUGGGACUUUAGGUUAAUUAGGUUAAUGGUGUUUUAGGUAAAGAGUUGCCUAUUUGCAGGGAGACUUUUUUUUGUUACAAAGUAAUUAGCAUCAUUUCAAAUUUAAAUAUCUCAGACUCUAGAUAUCAGCAUUCUCUCUAAAACGGUAAAAAUCUCUAAUUUAUAAAUUCUUUUUAUAGCUAAAUAAAUUUAUUUUAUUAUAAAUUACCAAAAAUAUAAUUUUAUCAAUUGAUUAGAAACAGCGUUCGUGUUUGACUUAUCAGCCGUAUUGUCCUUUUAUUUAUGAUAUAUAAAAUUAAUUUCGUUUUGAGGUUUAUAGUUACCUACUCUAAAUGAUGGCAAGAUAUUUAUUUGUGUGAUAAUUGAGAAACAGGAAAUUUUACCUACUCUGAAUGAUGGCAAGAUAUUAUUUUUUUAUUCUAUGGAUACAAUCUAAUUAACUGAAAGAUACUUUCUCCUGUCAUUUUCCGACUCUCCAAUCAAGCAAGAAAUUUAUCAGCCGUAUUGUCCUUUUAUUUAUAUAUGAUAUAUAAAACUAAUCUCGUUUUGAGGUUUGUAGCUACCCUUUUAAAUGAUUUUUUUCCCCGAAUUUAAUUAUUAUAAUAAUCCUUUCCUAAAUUUAAAUGUGUCUUACUACUUGAAACACUCACAGUGAAGUGUUUUUAUUUAUUUGUUUGAUAAUUGAGAAACAGGAAAUUCGACCUACUCUAAAUGAUGGCAAGACCAAAUUAAUUAAUUACCUAUUAUUUUUUGUUCAAUGGACACAGUCUAACUAGCUAGAAAGAUACUUUCUACUGUCAUUUUCCGACUCUCCAAUCAAGCAAGAAAUUUAUACUGUCUUAAUUAGUAGUUCAUUGAACAAGGCUAAAAGAAAGAAGGUCAAUAGCCACCACUUCUACAUCAAUUCUUCUUUUUUCCUUUUUUUUUUUUUUUUUUCUCUUUUUUGCCCUUUGCUGUAAAUGAGGGAGAUAAUUGAGGAGAAAAAAAAAAUUGAAAAACAAAAUAUUUUUAUUGCUGAAAAAUCAAAUUAAUUAAUUACAUAUAAAACAUAAAUAUUUAUAUAAUCAAAUAAAAAAAAUACAAAAUACAUCUUCACGUUCUUUAUAAUGGAUCAGGAUAUAUGUUCCCUCUUCUCCAAUAUUCCUCAAAAUCGCCAUGAACGAACUAUAACCUUGACAUAUAUGAGUUGAUGGGGAAGUAAGAAACUACAAUAGGAGCACUUGAAGAUGACUUUGAUUUGCUUUUGGGUUUCUGUACAUUAGAUCCUUUGAUGUUGGAUACUUCUGCAUCAUCUGAAACCCUAGAAGAUGAAGACGAUGAAGGAACAAAGCAACUGAACAUGGCUGAGAAAUUAACCAUUUUUCCUUCUGAUUUCUUCUUGUUGUGGAGUUGUAUUACUAUAUGUUGUGAUAUUGAUGAGGAUCAAAGUGAAAAAACCAGGCUAUUUAUAGAUGAAGAAGAGAAGUCGAAGUUGGUAUAUAAUCUUCAUGAGCAAGGAAAGGAAUUCCAAGUUUCCAGGAGAAUUCUCCUACCUUAAUUUGACCAAAACAAAUGAACCACAUGACUAUAAUAUAAUCAGGAAGUUUCCACUUGACUAGUUAAGAAAAGUUUACACUCUCAGAACGCUUUUAAGGUUAAUCAAAACUCUAGCCAGCCGCCACACACACAGGAAAAAGUUAUAUGCUGGACCCGUGUUCGGCAACCGCUAUUAAAAUAGUUUGUAGCGUUUUUGAUACUUUCUUAGUAAUACAGUAGAUGAACUAGCUUUUAGAGUUUACUGUGACAGCAUUUUAUGAAAACAUUAACUCAUUUAAUAUUUAGUUUUAGCAUUUCAUAAAAAACUAUUAAAAUAACGACCAACUAAACGUUAUAAAAUAAUUAAUAACUAUCAAAACAACUAAUUUCACAGAACAUGAUUCAUUUACACAACAAAGUCAAUUAUAAAUUUUUUUUUUUGAUGUAAGAAAGUACUUCUGACUAUUAAUUAAAAAAAAAAAAAAUAGGUAAAACUAACUUAGUGUAUGGACAAUCUGGUGCAUCGAGUGUGGUAAGUCUUAUAUAUCUUUAUUUUAUACAUUAUAUAUUUUUUAGAAUGCAAAAAUUUUUAAAAGGUAUUAAUACUUCAAGCAAUGAAAGGCCAUUUGUUGCUUUGGACUAAUUAUCACAAUCUAGUCAAUUUGUUGAUCAAUAUUUUAAUGGGAGAUUACCUAAACCACCGACUUUUGUAAAUUUUGUUUUAUUUCAAAUCAAAUUGCAUACCAGUCAAAUUAACAAUAUUAAAAUAAAAAUUAUAUACACAUCAUCUAGUUAACUAACAAUUAAUUAAUUAAUUAAAGGGAGAAAAUUAGAUUAUAAAUCAAGAGGAAGAUGAAAUCUGAGUUUCAUAAACCUGCCAAGUUCUCAAUUUUUAGUUUUUUUUUUAUAUUUUUUUUCUUUUUAUCAAACUCAAAACACAAUACGACAAACAACAACAACUUUCCAAUAUAAAAAAUUCAAGGAAAAAACAUUUAAUAGAAUAAAAUAAUUCAAAAUUACUAAUUCAUCGAAAUUGCAGUGAUCAAGUACACUCAAGUUAAUGAAAUUAUUCCCAACUCUUUGAAUACCUACUACACAAGCAGGAAAAAUAUAUUACUACAGUAUCGACGGACACGAAUUAUCUGGAAAAUGAGGAACAAAAAUUGGAGCUUCUGAUUUGCUCUUCAACUUCUCAGGCUUGUUACACCCUUUUCCAUCUGACAGAUUUUCAUCGAAGACCUUUGAAUUAGCAACAAUGGCAGAGCAGAAAAUUGCUGCAAAAGAAGAAAAAAUUGCUGAAAAGUAACCCAUUGUUUUUGUUUUCAUUGCUUUCUCUUAAUCAGCUAUUAAGAGGCCUGUUUAUAAUGAGAUUUUAGGGUUAAUUGUGUUGGUAAUUAAGGACUUGCCAAUUUGUUGUAAGAAAAUAAGAUUUGUAUUGACCAUUAGCUUGCAAGGGAAGAUUUUUUUUUUAAUUACUAGUAAGCAAUUAAAGUGACUUAAAUAUAUUUAUAUAUUUGGAAACGGUAAAAACUUGUCUAUUUUCGGUGUAUGAGAAUUGAUGAUAACACUUGCUUGCACUUAGUUUAUAAGAUCACCUAUACAUUCAAAUAUUGUUAUUGUUUUAUCUUUUAUUUUUCUAAUAAUUAGUCAUGAACGCUCUAGUGUAAGUAAAAAAUUAUUUUCAUUAUGGGUGGAGGCCAUGAAUCAGGUAUAAAUGAGUCCUUUUUGAAAAUUGAUAUAUAAAAUUAAGGUGGAAAUAAUUUUUAACAAAUUUCUAUUUCUAUCCGUUUAUGGCCAUAGACCGAAUCUAAACAGAUCUAAUACUAGUGUAUCUUCCCGUCUAUUCAUGAAUAUAUAUUGGUAGGAUUACGAGAUAUCCUUCCAAUAUGUGAAGACUAAUCCCCUUCUACCUAAAUUUUUAGUCUUCUCAAGGUCCAAUAAUUAUUUUUUUGGGACGUUGAACUUGUAAUUUUUUUUUGCUAAUAGUGGAAGAAGUUUGAAAUUAUGGCAAGAAUUGGAGCACAAAAAAAAAUAAUAAUAAAAGGAAAAUGAGGAACAAGAAUUGGAGAUUUUGAUUUGCUCAUCAAUUUCGCAGACUUGUUAGACCUUUUUGCAUCUGAAAACUGCUUUUCGUCGAAGACCUUUGAAUUAGCAAAAAUGGUGGAGCAGAAAAUUGCUGAAAAGCAUCCCAUUGUUUUCUGUUUCUAUUAAUUUCUCCUGAUUACCUACAAGAGACCUAUUUAUAGUGGGACUUUAGGUUAAUUAGGUUAAUGGUGUUUUAGGUAAAGAGUUGCCAAUUUGCAGGGAGACUUUUUUUUGUUACAAAGUAAUUAGCAUCAUUUCAAAUUUAAAUAUCUCAGACUCUAGAUAUCAGCAUCCUCUCUAAAACGGUAAAACUCUCCAAUUUAUAAAUUCUUUUUAUAGCUAAAUAAAUUUAUUUUAUUAUAAAUUACCAAAAAAUAUAAUUUUAUUAAUUGAUUAGAAACAGCGUCCGUAUUUUGGCUUAUCAACCGUAUUGUCCUUUUAUUUAUGAUAUAUAAAAUUAAUCUCAUUUUGAGGUUUAUAGUUACCUACUCUGAAUGAUGGCAAGAUAUUUAUUUGUGCGAUAAUUGAGAAACAGGAAAUUUUACCUACUCUAAAUGAUGGCAAGAUAUUAUUUUUUUGUUCUAUGGACACAAUCUAAUUAGCUAGAAAGAUACUUUCUCCUAUCAUUUUCCGACUCUCCAGUCAAGCAAGAAAUUUAUACUGUCUUAGUUAGUAGUUCAUUGAAAAAGGCCAAAAGAAAGAAGGUCAAUAGCCACCACUUUCAAAUCAAUUCUUCUUUUUUCUUUUUUCUUUUUUUUCUUUUUUUUCUUUUGCUGUAAAUGAGGGAGAUAAUUGAGGAGAAAAAAAAAUUGAAAAACAAAAUAUUUUUAUUGCUGAAAAAUCAAAUUAAUUAAUUGGAUAUAAAACAUAAAUAUGUAUAAUCAAAUAAAAAAAAUACAAAAUACAUCUUCAUGUUCUUUAUAAUGGAUCAGGAUAUAUGUUCACUCUUCUCCAAUAUUCCUCAAAAUCGCCAUGAACGAACUAUAACCUUGACAUAUAUGAGUUGAUGGGGAAGUAAGAAACUACAAUAGGAGCACUUGAAGAUGACUUUGAUUUGCUUUUGGGUUUCUGUACAAUAGAUCCUCUGAUGUUGAUUUGAUGUUGGAUACUUCUGCAUCAUCUGAAACCCUAGAAGAUGAAGACGAUGAAGGAACAAAGCAACUGAACAUGGCUGAGAAAUUAACCAUUUUUCCUUCUGAUUUCUUCUUGUUGUGGAGUCGUAUUACAAUAUGUUGUGAUAUUGAUGAGGAUCAAAGUGAAAAAACCAGGCUAUUUAUAGAUGAAGAAGAGAAGUCGAAGUUGGUAUAUAGUCUUCAUGUGCAAGGAAAGGAAUUCCAAGUUUCCAGGAGAAUUCUCCUACCUUAAUUUGACCAAAACAAAUGAACCACAUGACUAUAAUAUAAGCAGGAAGUUUCCACUUGACUAGUUGAGAAAAGUCAACACUCUCAGAACGCUUUUAAG
rnacentral:lncRNA from 1 species